UACGGGGGGGCAAGCGUUGUUCGGAAUUACUGGGCGUAAAGGGCUCGUAGGCGGCCAACUAAGUCGGAUGUGAAAUCCCCAGGCUCAACUUGGGAACUGCAUCCGAUACUGGAUGGCUUGAAUUCGGGAGAGGGAUGCAGAAUUCCAGGUGUAGCGGUGAAAUGCGUAGAUAUCUGGAGGAAUACCGGUGGCGAAGGCGGCAUCCUGGACCGACAUUGACGCUGAGGAGCGAAAGCUGAGGGGAGCAAACGGGG
rnacentral:rRNA from 1 species